AGGUACAAAACAAGUUAAAAAAAUAUUGAAUAUUUCAAGAAUCCAAUUGUUGUAGAUCACAAUUUUAAUUGUGGAUGGCCCCUUUUGGAUAGAUUACUUCAACUCUUUCGGCCUAAAAUGACGUAUCCAAGCACCCGUAUCUAAAUUUAGAUCAAUAUCCCCGUAUUUUCUAUUCAGAAAGUUCACAAGUAUGACAUACGGAUAUGUAUCCAUUUUCAACACCUGUACCUGAGUCGAGUAACAUAGCUAUUAACUAAGGCAGAUUUCAUUAUAGAUUAACAAUAACAAUAUAACACUUAUAAGAACAAAUAUGUAUUAAUAAUAAAAUUAUUCUUUUGAAUAUGAUGGUCCUGGUGCCCAUGGUGGUUAAGUUGUUGGAAAUGAGUUGCAGCAACAGUAGUAGCAAUGAAGCUGGCGGUGUUUGUAGGGGUGGGGAAGUGAUUGUGAUGUGUAUGGUGGUGAGCUAAUGUUGAUGAUAGCGCUGAUGGCAAAGGAGCAAUGGUAACAGGUUUUUAAGUAUCGGAAGAGGUCACAGAACUGGACUGAAUUAGGCAUCAUUUAAGAAAGGUCAUCAUCCAGUGAUAAUGUUGAACAAAGCCUUGUUUUUUCAAGCGGAAAUUUCAAUUCACUUGACAAUAAAUGUAUUAAUCUCACAGAUGUUCCAAAAGUCCCAACAUCCAUGCAGGAAUCUUCACAUUAUACUUGUACAUGACAGUUAAACAAACACAUAGGAGCAAUAUUCAACUUUAUUGAAUUCGGGUAUAAAGCCAGUAAUGGUAAGGAUGACAAAUAUAUAAAGAGAAUACAUAUAGCAAAGAGUGGCAAAUAUGUGAUAGAAGGAAUGACAAAUGCAUAUGGCACAGAGGAUUUGUUCAUGUUCCUUCCUCUUCUUCAAUUUGAUUCUAGUUCCCAUCGGAAUGAAAAUGGACCACUAAUCAUCUUUGUGAAUGACAAGCCCAACCUAGUGGCAAUGUUUCCUCUUGAUAACAAGAUUACCAUCCCAACAUCAGAACAGAUGGAAAGGCAAUAUCCUUCACAGAUUUGCAAUGGCAUCAAGGUUUUUAAGCCCAGUCACAUUGAAGGCAUGGGAACUCCA
rnacentral:misc_RNA from 1 species